CGCGCAGGCGGUCCUUUAAGUCUGAUGUGAAAGCCCACGGCUCAACCGUGGAGGGUCAUUGGAAACUGGGGGACUUGAGUGCAGAAGAGGAAAGCGGAAUACCACGUGUAGCGGUGAAAUGCGUAGAGAUGUGGAGGAACACCAGUGGCGAAGGCGGCUUUCUGGUCUGUAACUGACGCUGAGGCGCGAAAGCGUGGGGAGCAAACA
rnacentral:rRNA from 1 species